AUUGAACGCUGGCGGCAUGCCUUACACAUGCAAGUCGAACGGCAGCACGGGAGCAAUCCUGGUGGCGAGUGGCGAACGGGUGAGUAAUACAUCGGAACGUACCUGGUAGUGGGGGAUAGCCCGGCGAAAGCCGGAUUAAUACCGCAUACGACCUGAGGGUGAAAGCGGGGGAUCGCAAGACCUCGCGCUAUUGGAGCGGCCGAUGGCAGAUUAGGUAGUUGGUGGGGUAAAGGCCUACCAAGCCUACGAUCUGUAGCUGGUUUGAGAGGACGACCAGCCACACUGGGACUGAGACACGGCCCAGACUCCUACGGGAGGCAGCAGUGGGGAAUUUUGGACAAUGGGCGCAAGCCUGAUCCAGCCAUGCCGCGUGCGGGAAGAAGGCCUUCGGGUUGUAAACCGCUUUUGUCAGGGAAGAAAUACUCUGGGCUAAUACCCUGGGGUGAUGACGGUACCUGAAGAAUAAGCACCGGCUAACUACGUGCCAGCCGCCGCGGUAAAAC
rnacentral:rRNA from 1 species